rnacentral:rRNA from 1 species
AAUGAACGUUGGCGGCAUGGAUUAGGCAUGCGAGUCGAGCGAGAAGAGUUUUGAAGCUUGCUUUAGAACUCGGACAGCGGCGAAAGGGAGAGUAACGCGUAGUUAUGUGCCCUAGGGUCCGGAAUAGCCACGGGAAACUGUGGGUAAUGCCGGAUAAUAUCCCCGGAUCAAAGGUGUGAUUCCGCCCUAGGAGCAGACUGCGUCCUACUAGCUAGUUGGUGGGGUAAUGGCCCACCAAGGCAAUGAUGGGUAGCGGGUGUGAGAGCAUGACCCGGCUCACUGGGACUGAGACACUGCCCAGACACCUACGGGUGGCUGCAGUCGAGAAUCUUCGGCAAUGGGCGAAAGCCUGACCGAGCGAUGCCGCGUGCGGGAUGAAGGCCCUCGGGUUGUAAACCGCUGUCGUAGGGGAGGAAGGUUCCGUGAAGAGCGGGACUUGACCUAUCCUAGGAGGAAGUACGGGCUAAGUUCGUGCCAGCCGCCGCCGUAAAAC